rnacentral:rRNA from 1 species
GACGAACGCUGGCGGCGUGCUUAACACAUGCAAGUCGAACGGUGAUGCUGGAGCUUGCUCCAGCUGAUCAGUGGCGAACGGGUGAGUAACACGUGAGCAACCUGCCCUUGACUCUGGGAUAACCCCGGGAAACCGGAGCUAAUACCGGAUAUGAACCGCAUAGGCAUCUGCGCGGUUGGAAAGAUUUAUCGGUCAAGGAUGGGCUCGCGGCCUAUCAGCUUGUUGGUGGGGUAACGGCCCACCAAGGCGACGACGGGUAGCCGGCCUGAGAGGGCGAUCGGCCACACUGGGACUGAGACACUGCCCAGACUCCUACGGGAGGCAGCAGUGGGGAAUAUUGCACAAUGGGCGAAAGCCUGAUGCAGCGACGCCGCGUGAGGGACGAAGGCCUUCGGGUUGUAAACCUCUUUCAGCAGGGAAGAAGCGAAAGUGACGGUACCUGCAGAAGAAGCACCGGCUAACUACGUGCCAGCAGCCGCCGUAAGAC